rnacentral:rRNA from 1 species
GAGUUUGAUCCUGGCUCAGAACGAACGCUGGCGGCAGGCUUAACACAUGCAAGUCGAACGGUUGUAGCAAUACAGCAGUGGCGCACGGGUGAGUAACGCGUGGAUAUCUGCCUUUUGGUUCGGAAUAACCCCGGGAACUGGGCGUAAUACCGGAUGGUUCCUUCGGGAUAAAGAUUUAUCGCCAAAGAAUGAGUCCGCGUACGAUUAGCUAGUUGGUGAGGUAAUGGCUCACCAAGGCGACGAUCGUUAGCUGGUCUGAGAGGACGAUCAGCCGCACUGGAACUGAGACACGGUCCAGACUCCUACGGGAGGCAGCAGUGGGGAAUCUUGCGCAAUGGGGGGAAACCCUGACGCAGCCACGCCGCGUGGGUGAUGAAGGCCUUCGGGUCGUAAAGCCCUGUCGGGAGGGAAGAAGUUCUGACGGUACC